UACGUAGGGGGCAAGCGUUGUCCGGAUUUAUUGGGCGUAAAGCGCUCGCAGGUGGUUUGUCGCGUCGUGCGUGAAAGACCCCGGCUCAACUGGGGAGGGUCGUGCGAUACGGGCGAACUGGAGGCCAGUAGGGGGAUGCGGAAUUCCGGGUGUAGUGGUGGAAUGCGUAGAGAUCCGGAGGAACACCAGCGGCGAAGGCGGCGUCCUGGACUGGUCCUGACACUCAGGAGCGAAAGCGUGGGGAGCGAUCCGG
rnacentral:rRNA from 1 species